rnacentral:rRNA from 1 species
UGCAGUCGAGCGGAACGAUCCUAGCUUGCUAGGAGGCGUCGAGCGGCGGACGGGUGAGUAAUGCAUAGGAAUCUGCCCGGUAGUGGGGGAUAACUUGAGGAAACUCAAGCUAAUACCGCAUACGCCCUACGGGGGAAAGCAGGGGCUCUUCGGACCUUGCGCUAUCGGAUGAGCUUAUGUCGGAUUAGCUGGUUGGUGAGGUAACGGCUCACCAAGGCGACGAUCCGUAGCUGGUCUGAGAGGAUGAUCAGCCACAUCGGGACUGAGACACGGCCCGAACUCCUACGGGAGGCAGCAGUGGGGAAUAUUGGACAAUGGGGGCAACCCUGAUCCAGCCAUGCCGCGUGUGUGAAGAAGGCCCUCGGGUUGUAAAGCACUUUCAGCGAGGAAGAAUGCUUGUCGGUUAAUACCCGGCAAGGGAGACAUCACUCGCAGAAGAAGCACCGGCUAACUCCGUGCCAGCAGCCGCGGUAAUACGGAGGGUGCGAGCGUUAAUCGGAAUUACUGGGCGUAAAGCGUGCGUAGGCGGCUUGAUAAGCCGGUUGUGAAAGCCCCGGGCUCAACCUGGGAACGGCAUCCGGAACUGUUAGGCUAGAGUGCAGGAGAGGAAGGUAGAAUUCCCGGUGUAGCGGUGAAAUGCGUAGAGAUCGGGAGGAAUACCAGUGGCGAAGGCGGCCUUCUGGACUGACACUGACGCUGAGGUACGAAAGCGUGGGUAGCAAACAGGAUUAGAUACCCUGGUAGUCCACGCCGUAAACGAUGUCGACUAGCCGUUGGGGUCCUCGAGACCUUUGUGGCGCAGUUAACGCACUAAGUCGACCGCCUGGGGAGUACGGCCGCAAGGUUAAAACUCAAAUGAAUUGACGGGGGCCCGCACAAGCGGUGGAGCAUGUGGUUUAAUUCGAUGCAACGCGAGAACCUUACCUACCCUU